UCGGCGGAGGCUUGGGCGCCCUCCUCUCUAGGAACUUCGACAUCUGGCCGGUCCUUCUCGAGUCUCUCCACCUCGCCCUGCCAGCCCUGUUUUAUUCCCGAGCCUGCUCGCGGGCCCCUAAGGCGUCCUCUCUGGCAGCCGUGCGUCCUAGCCUGUGGCGGGUGGCGCCGCGCGUGCCCUCUGCCUCACCUUGCUCACGGCGUCUCUCCGCCCCAGUGCGCCUGUUGGCGCUCGCUCCGCUGCCUGGCUAACACCUGCUGUCCUCCGAAAUCGUCCUUCCGGCAAGCCUUCCCUAACCCAGUGGCAGGGAAGCGCGUUUGCUGGGCUCCCGCGAUGUCCUGGUGAUGCUUAUUAAGCUUCAGUACACUGGAAAGGAAUCUGGUUAAAUACAGUUAACAUCUACAUCCCAGGACCAGUGCAGGACCUGCAGUAUUUCAUGAAUUAAAAAGAAACACAAAGAGAAAAGGUAUCUGGUUUAUUUAGGUUGCUGUGAUCUCCCUGAGAAAUAAGAGUCAGUAUAGACCAACGCUGUCCAACCAAUAGAACUUUCUGCCAUGAUGGCAUAUCCUGUAGCUGCACUGUCCCCUCAUGUGGCUGUCUGAACACUUGAAUGACUAAUGUGACUGAGAAACUGAGCUUUUAAUCUUAAUUAACUUAAAUUUAAGUUUAGCCACAUGUAUUUAGUGGCUACUGUACUGGACAGUGCAGGUCUAGCUAGACCAGUGGUUCUCAAUUGAGGGCAAUUUUCCCCCACAGAUAACAUUUGCCAAGGUCUGGAGAUAUUUUUGGUUGUCACAACUGGGGGAGUGCUUCUGAUGUCUAGUGGGCAGAGGCCAGGGAUGCUGCUGAGCACCCUACCAUACACCAGACAGCCCCACAACAAAGAAUUAUCUGGCCCCAAAUGUCAAGUACGAGUUUGAGAAACCCUGGUCUAGACUGUCUAGCACCUGCCUUUUGACAAGGACAGACCCUCAACUGCAGCCUGGGAACUGGGAUUGGCCAAAGGUCCUGGGCUGCCCUCAGGAAGACAGAUGGGUCCAGAGGCCUCAGGGAAGUCCCUAAGCCCUUUAUUCCAUCAGCCAAACAACACGCAUUACUGGGCAUGUGCUGAGCUUGUGCCAGUGCCAGGACAGGACAGAGACGGAUCCUAUCCUGUGAAGGGCUGCCUGCUCUCCCUCCUUCCAGGGUCCUUCAAGGAUCUUGGCAGGGGGAUGGGAGGUUGGUGCAGGGAGCACUAAAGGUCCUAGCAGCCAUUCAUAAGUCCAUCUAUGUCUCCAGCCCCACAUGGUAUCAGCCGCUUCCCUCAUCCUCAUAGGCGAUGGCAAUCCCUCGUCUUCCACUCACAGCUUCUGUCACUGGCGUCUGACCCAGGCGGGGCUCCAGCCCUUGCCAGCUC
rnacentral:lncRNA from 10 species